rnacentral:rRNA from 1 species
AUACGUAGGGAGCGAGCGUUGUCCGGAAUUACUGGGCGUAAAGGGCGCGUAGGCGGCGCUUCAAGUCGUCUGUCAAAUGGAAGGGCUUAACCCUUUUUCGCAGACGAAACUGGAGAGCUUGAGAAGCAGAGAGGCAAACAGAAUUCCUGGUGUAGCGGUGAAAUGCGUAGAUAUCAGGAAGAAUACCAGUGGCGAAGGCGGUUUGCUGGCUGCAUACUGACGCUGAAGAGCGAAAGCCAGGGGAGCGAACGGGAUUAGAUACCCCGGUAGUCCUGGCAGUAAACGAUGUAUGCUGGGUGUGAGACUAGCGAUAGUUUCGUGCCGAAGUUAACGCGAUAAGCAUACCGCCUGGGGAGUACGGUCGCAAGAUUGAAACUCAAAUGAAUUGACGGGG